rnacentral:tRNA from 1 species
GCGGUUGUAACUCAGUGGAUAGAGUAUCUCACUCCUAAGGAGAAAGUCGGACGUUCGAAUCGUCUCAACCGCGCCA